rnacentral:rRNA from 1 species
UCGGGAAACUGAGGCUAAUCCUGGAUAGGGCUCACAGCCUGGAGUGGCGUGAGCUCGAAACGUUCCGGCGCCACAGGAUGUGGCUGCGGCCGAUUAGGUAGACGGUGGGGUAACGGCCCACCGUGCCAGUAAUCGGUACGGGUCAUGAGAGUGAGAGCCCGGAGACGGUAUCUGAGACAAGAUACCGGGCCCUACGGGGCGCAGCAGGCGCGAAACCUUUACACUGCACGACAGUGCGAUAAGGGGACCCCGAGUGCGAGGGCAUACAGUCCUCGCUUUUCUGCACCGUAAGGUGGUGCAGGAAUAAGUGCUGGGCAAGACCGGUGCCAGCCGCCGCGGUAAUACCGGCAGCACGAGUGAUGGCCGAUCUUAUUGGGCCUAAAGCGUCCGUAGCCGGCCAGACAGGUCCGUCGGGAAAUCCACGCGCCUAACGCGUGGGCGUCCGGCGGAAACCAGCUGGCUUGGGGCCGGAAGAUCCAGGGGGUACGUCCGGGGUAGGAGUGAAAUCCCGUAAUCCCGGACGGACCGCCGGUGGCGAAAGCGCCCUGGAAGGACGGACCCGACGGUGAGGGACGAAAGCUAGGGUCACGAACCGGAUUAGAUACCCGGGUAGUCCUAGCUGUAAACGAUGCCCGCUAGGUGUGGCGCAGGCUACGAGCCUGCGCUGUGCCGCAGCGAAGGCGCUAAGCGGGCCGCCUGGGAAGUACGUCUGCAAGGAU